UUGACCUCGGAUCAGGUAGGGAUACCCGCUGAACUUAAGCAUAUCAAUAAGCGGAGGAAAAGAAACCAACCGGGAUUGCCUCAGUAACGGCGAGUGAAGCGGCAAGAGCUCAAAUUUGAAAGCUGGCUCCUUCGGAGUCCGCAUUGUAAUUUGCAGAGGAUGCUUUGGGUGCGGCCCCCGUCUAAGUGCCCUGGAACGGGCCGUCAGAGAGGGUGAGAAUCCCGUCUUGGGCGGGGUGUCCGUGCCCGUGUAAAGCUCCUUCGACGAGUCGAGUUGUUUGGGAAUGCAGCUCUAAAUGGGUGGUAAAUUUCAUCUAAAGCUAAAUACUGGCCGGAGACCGAUAGCGCACAAGUAGAGUGAUCGAAAGAUGAAAAGCACUUUGAAAAGAGAGUUAAACAGCACGUGAAAUUGUUGAAAGGGAAGCGCUUGCAACCAGACUCGCCCGCGGGGUUCAGCCGGCAUUCGUGCCGGUGUACUUCCCCGUGGGCGGGCCAGCGUCGGUUUGGGCGGCCGGUCAAAGGCCCCUGGAAUGUAGUGCCCUCCGGGGCACCUUAUAGCCAGGGGUGCAAUGCGGCCAGCCUAGACCGAGGAACGCGCUUCGGCUCGGACGCUGGCAUAAUGGUUGUAAACGACCC
rnacentral:rRNA from 1 species